GGAGGAUCAUUAUCGUAGGGCUUCGGCCCUGUCGAGAUAGAACCCUUGCCUUUUUGAGUACCUUUCGUUUCCUCGGCAGGCUCGCCUGCCAAUGGGGACCACAAAAAACACUUUGCAGUACCUGUAACAGUCUGAACAAACAAAACAAAAAUUAAAACUUUCAACAACGGAUCUCUUGGUUCUGGCAUCGAUGAAGAACGCAGCGAAAUGCGAUAAGUAGUGUGAAUUGCAGAAUUCAGUGAAUCAUCGAAUCUUUGAACGCACAUUGCGCCCUUUGGUAUUCCUUAGGGCAUGCCUGUUCGAGCGUCAUUUAAACCUUCAAGCUAAGCUUGGUGUUGGGUGACUGUCCGCUUCACUGCGGACUCGCCUCAAAAUUAUUGGCGGCCGGUACAUUGGCUUCGAGCGCAGCAGAAACGCGAACUCGGGCCCGUCGUAUUGGCUCCCAGAAGCUAUCUUCACAAUUUUGACCUCGGAUCAGGUAGGGAUACCCGCUGAACUUAAGCAUAUCAAUAAGCGGAGGA
rnacentral:rRNA from 1 species